GACGAACGCUGACGGUGUGCUUUAGGCAUGCAAGUCGAACGAGAAAGCCCUUCGGGGUGAGUAAAGUGGCGAACGGGUGAGUAACACGUGGGCAACCUGCCCCUCGCAGGGGGACAACCGGAGGAAACUCCGGCUAAUACCCCGUACGUUCCCAGGGUCGCAUGGCAUUGGGAGGAAAGGUAGCGUCGGCUAUCCGGCGAGGGAUGGGCCGGCGGUGCAUUAGCUAGUUGGUGGGGUAACGGCUCACCAAGGCAACGAUGCAUAGCUGGUCUGAGAGGAUGAUCAGCCACACUGGGACUGAGACACGGCCCAGACUCCUACGGGAGGCAGCAGCCAGGAAUCUUGGGCAAUGGGCGCAAGCCUGACCCAGCAACACCGUGUGGGCGAUGAAGGCCUUCGGGUCGUAAAGCCCUGUUGAUAGGGACGAAGGGCGAAGGGUUAAUAGCCCCUAGCCUGACGGUACCUUUCGAGGAAGCCCCGGCUAACUACGUGCCAGCCGCCGCAGUAACAC
rnacentral:rRNA from 1 species